rnacentral:rRNA from 1 species
AGAUUGAACGCUGGCGGCAGGCCUAACACAUGCAAGUCGAACGGUAACAGGAAGAAGCUUGCUCUUGCUGACGAGUGGCGGACGGGUGAGUAAUGUCUGGGAAACUGCCUGAUGGAGGGGGGAUAACUACUGGAAACGGUAGCUAAUACCGCAUAACGUCGCAAGACCAAAGAGGGGGACCUUCGGGCCUCUUGCCAUCGGAUGUGCCCAGAUGGGAUUAGCUUGUUGGUGGGGUAACGGCUCACCAAGGCGACGAUCCCUAGCUGGUCUGAGAGGAUGACCAGCCACACUGGAACUGAGACACGGUCCAGACUCCUACGGGAGGCAGCAGUGGGGAAUAUUGCACAAUGGGCGCAAGCCUGAUGCAGCCAUGCCGCGUGUAUGAAGAAGGCCUUCGGGUUGUAAAGUACUUUCAGCGGGGAGGAAGGGAGUAAAGUUAAUACCUUUGCUCAUUGACGUUACCCGCAGAAGAAGCACCGGCUAACUCCGUGCCAGCCGCCGC